rnacentral:lncRNA from 1 species
UUGAGACAGGUUCUUACUGUGUAGGCCUGGCUGGUCUCCAACUCCCAGGAUCCUCUAGCCUCAACCUCUCUUAGGUGCUAGCUUGCAGGCCUAGGGCAUCACGAUAGUCCCCCAGAUCCUGGUGCCUUUCCACGCCCCUCCCAUGUACAGUCUGCCUUUCUGAAGGAGCUGUGUGGAGCUAGGAGUGUUACAGGGCUGCUGCUCCGUUUGGGAGGCUGAGGCAGGACAAUAUGCGCCUGGACAAUACGAGAACCUGCCCCCACCCUUCAAAAGUAGCUUUUCAGUAUCUUACUUUUCAACUUGGUCCGCCUUCUCCUGGGAUGCUGGUGUCAGCAGAAGCUGAUGGGGAAGUGAAGCCUGGGAAGUUAGCAAAGGAGGAAUGGGUAGAAAGGGGAAGUGUGAGAGAAGUCCCAGAAGGGACUGGGGAGCUGGUGGAGAGAGGAGCCAGCCAACACACUGCAGCCUCAUCGUCAUCUCCCCACCUAAGGCCACCAGCGUCUGAGGAGCUAUGAGCCAGAGCAAGGAUUUGCAGGGUAGGGAAGGUGGACCGUACAGCACCAGGAGCCAGCAUGAGUCAGGGAGCCAGAGGGCUGCUGGAGAAUCUCAGAGGGCAGCCCUUGGGCAACACUUGGGCUGGGCACAGGGGAGGAGGAAAGGGAGGGAGGGGUGGUUAACCUCUGUACCCCUCAG